rnacentral:rRNA from 1 species
AGAGUUUGAUCAUGGCUCAGAUUGAACGCUGGCGGCAGGCCUAACACAUGCAAGUCGAGCGGUAGCACAGAGAGCUUGCUCUCGGGUGACGAGCGGCGGACGGGUGAGUAAUGUCUGGGAAACUGCCUGAUGGAGGGGGAUAACUACUGGAAACGGUAGCUAAUACCGCAUAAUGUCGCAAGACCAAAGUGGGGGACCUUCGGGCCUCAUGCCAUCAGAUGUGCCCAGAUGGGAUUAGCUAGUAGGUGGGGUAACGGCUCACCUAGGCGACGAUCCCUAGCUGGUCUGAGAGGAUGACCAGCCACACUGGAACUGAGACACGGUCCAGACUCCUACGGGAGGCAGCAGUGGGGAAUAUUGCACAAUGGGCGCAAGCCUGAUGCAGCCAUGCCGCGUGUGUGAAGAAGGCCUUCGGGUUGUAAAGCACUUUCAGCGGGGAGGAAGGCGAUAAGGUUAAUAACCUCAUCGAUUGACGUUACCCGCAGAAGAAGCACCGGCUAACUCCGUGCCAGCAGCCGCGGUAAUACGGAGGGUGCAAGCGUUAAUCGGAAUUACUGGGCGUAAAGCGCACGCAGGCGGUCUGUCAAGUCGGAUGUGAAAUCCCCGGGCUCAACCUGGGAACUGCAUUCGAAACUGGCAGGCUAGAGUCUUGUAGAGGGGGGUAGAAUUCCAGGUGUAGCGGUGAAAUGCGUAGAGAUCUGGAGGAAUACCGGUGGCGAAGGCGGCCCCCUGGACAAAGACUGACGCUCAGGUGCGAAAGCGUGGGGAGCAAACAGGAUUAGAUACCCUGGUAGUCCACGCCGUAAACGAUGUCGAUUUGGAGGUUGUGCCCUUGAGGCGUGGCUUCCGGAGCUAACGCGUUAAAUCGACCGCCUGGGGAGUACGGCCGCAAGGUUAAAACUCAAAUGAAUUGACGGGGGCCCGCACAAGCGGUGGAGCAUGUGGUUUAAUUCGAUGCAACGCGAAGAACCUUACCUGGUCUUGACAUCCACAGAACUUUCCAGAGAUGGAUUGGUGCCUUCGGGAACUGUGAGACAGGUGCUGCAUGGCUGUCGUCAGCUCGUGUUGUGAAAUGUUGGGUUAAGUCCCGCAACGAGCGCAACCCUUAUCCUUUGUUGCCAGCGGUUAGGCCGGGAACUCAAAGGAGACUGCCAGUGAUAAACUGGAGGAAGGUGGGGAUGACGUCAAGUCAUCAUGGCCCUUACGACCAGGGCUACACACGUGCUACAAUGGCAUAUACAAAGAGAAGCGACCUCGCGAGAGCAAGCGGACCUCAUAAAGUAUGUCGUAGUCCGGAUUGGAGUCUGCAACUCGACUCCAUGAAGUCGGAAUCGCUAGUAAUCGUAGAUCAGAAUGCUACGGUGAAUACGUUCCCGGGCCUUGUACACACCGCCCGUCACACCAUGGGAGUGGGUUGCAAAAGAAGUAGGUAGCUUAACCUUCGGGAGGGCGCUUACCACUUUGUGAUUCAUGACUGGGGUGAAGUCGUAACAAGGUAACCGUAGGGGAACCUGCGGUUGGAUCACCU